AAACUGAAACGUAUCGAGUCAUAGUGUGAUUUCGUUCCCGAAUUUGAGUUCGUCGAAGUCGUAGGCGUUUGAGGUACCGCCACUCCUACGACAGGUAUCCGUUAUAUCCUGGGAGGAAAUAAUCCACAACCUCGGGUACAGUGAGGGGGUUAAAUUCCUUAAGGACACACAGUGAAUUCUGUGGUCCCGGAUUUCUUCAUUUCUGUGAUUUUUUUUUAUUUAUUUUUUUGUGUCUCUUCUUCUUACUGGUUUCCAGUUUCUCGUUGCUUUGAACACGGACAAUCGAUAACA
rnacentral:lncRNA from 1 species